UUUUAGGUUUGAAUUCUUUUACUUAAAUUUUUAUUAUUUUUGUCUCAACCCCUAACUUUGGAUAUUAAGUUUAUAUAUUAUUUUCGCUCAAUUAAAGACAAGAAUGAGCUUGCUGAUUUAGUAGUAAGGCUUUAACUUAUCUAAAGAUCUAGUGUUUGAAUUCUUAUGUGUGCAAAGUGGAAAUAUUUUUAUUUCCAUACACUAUGCCGUCCAUGUGGAUGUGGUUGGGUUAGAUUCGAAUUUUGAUCAGCCUUAGUGGGAUUUAAUAAGAUUUUAUCUUAUUCAUAUUUAUUCUUUUAAAAUUUUUUUUAGAGAAGUAUUCUCCCUAAAGUUCUCCCACGUUUCUCUCCCACUCCCCACCUCAAGUCUAGCUUCCCCAUUUUCCAUUUUCUCAUUUGUUUUGUUUUCAUGAUAGCUUACUAGUAAAUUCUCUUUGAUUUCUUUCUCAGUUUUUUUCCAAUUUUUCUCUUCUUUCUUGCUCAUUAUUUUCUUUACUGUCCCAACUUCGGUGGUUGGUGUUUGUCCUGGAGCUGGUGUGUUCGUGUGUGGUAAAAUCACCGGGAGAAGAUCGGGAGACGCCUGAAUUGUCUCUAGCGAAUUAGAGAAUUUAUUGGGCUGCUAUUCUGUUGGGUCCUGGAAUUACGGUUGUGGUGAGGGUAUCGAAAAAUGAUCAGGUGUGUAAUAAAAAUAUCGAAAAACAACGAACGACACGAUGCCAAAAAUUUACUGUUGAUGCCACACAGCUGUGUGGGCCAUGUGAGUUGAGUUAAGUGGGCUGUGUCGACCACUCGAGUUGGGCUAGUUAGGCCGUGUGGGCUAUAUGAGCGUGUGAGCCCAUUUUCUGUAAAUUUAGUUAGUAUUGUAUUCGAAGUGUGAUUUAAGGUUAGCCACUUCGUAAGUUCUGUAAUGUGUUUUGUUUGUCAUUAAAUUGUGAAAUAUGAUA